rnacentral:rRNA from 1 species
AUUGAACGCUGGCGGCAGGCCUAACACAUGCAAGUCGAGCGGAGCGGCGGACGGGUGAGUAAUGCCUAGGAAUCUGCCUGGUCGCUGGGGAUAACGUCCGGAAACGGGCGCUAAUAUCGUCUACUAUCAGAUGAGCCUAGGUCGGUUUAGCUCGGUGGAGGGGUAAAGGCCUACCAAGGCGACGAUCCGUAACUGGUCUGAGAGGAUGAUCAGUCACAAUGGAAAUGAGACACGGUCCAGACUCCUACGGGAGGCAGCAGUGGGGAAGAUUAGACAAUGGGCGAAAGCCUGAUGCAGCCAUGCCGCGUGUGUGAAGAAGGUCUUCGGAUUGUAAAGCAAUUUGAGUUGGGAGGCGUUACCAACAGAAUAAGCACCGGCUAACUUCGUGCCAGCAGCCGCGGUAAUAC